rnacentral:rRNA from 1 species
GACGAACGCUGGCGGCGUGCCUAAUACAUGCAAGUUGAGCGCUGAAGGUUGGUACUUGUACCGACUGGAUGAGCAGCGAACGGGUGAGUAACGCGUGGGGAAUCUGCCUUUGAGCGGGGGACAACAUUUGGAAACGUAUGCUAAUACCGCAUAAAAACUUUAAACACAAGUUUUAAGUUUGAAAGAUGCAAUUGCAUCACUCAAAGAUGAUCCCGCGUUGUAUUAGCUAGUUGGUGAGGUAAAGGCUCACCAAGGCGAUGAUACAUAGCCGACCUGAGAGGGUGAUCGGCCACAUUGGGACUGAGACACGGCCCAAACUCCUACGGGAGGCAGCAGUAGGGAAUCUUCGGCAAUGGACGAAAGUCUGACCGAGCAACGCCGCGUGAGUGAAGAAGGUUUUCGGAUCGUAAAACUCUGUUGGUAGAGAAGAACGUUGGUGAGAGUGGAAAGCUCAUCAAGUGGCGGUAACUACCCAGAAAGGGACGGCUAACUACGUG